GACGAACGCUGGCGGCGUGCCUAAUACAUGCAAGUAGGACGCAGUUGCGAACGGGUGAGUAACGCGUAGGUAACUACCUAUUAGAGGGGGAUAACUAUUGGAAACGAUAGCUAAUACCGCAUACUAGUUGAUGGACCUGCGUUGUAGUAGCUAGUAGGUAGGGUAAUGGCCUACCUAGGCAACGAUACAUAGCCGACCUGAGAGGGUGAUCGGCCACACUGGGACUGAGACACGGUCCAGACUCCUACGGGAGGCAGCAGUGGGGAAUAUUGCACAAUGGGCGCAAGCCUGAUGCAGCCAUGCCGCGUGUAUGAAGAAGGCCUUCGGGUUGUAAAGUACUUUUGUCAGGGAAGCGGUACCUGAAGAAUAAGCACCGGCUAACUACGUGCCAGCCGCCGCGGUAAUUC
rnacentral:rRNA from 1 species